rnacentral:rRNA from 1 species
UACGGAGGGUGCAAGCGUUAUCCGGAUUCACUGGGUUUAAAGGGUGCGUAGGUGGGUCUGUAAGUCCGUGGUGAAAUCUCCAAGCUUAACUUGGAAACUGCCGUGGAUACUAUGGAUCUUGAAUAUUGUGGAGGUAAGCGGAAUAUGUCAUGUAGCGGUGAAAUGCUUAGAUAUGACAUAGAACACCGAUAGCGAAGGCAGCUUGCUACACAAUCAUUGACACUGAGGCACGAAAGCGUGGGGAUCAAACAGG